GAAGAAUCCAGAGAAAGACACAAAGAAGUAGAGAGUGAGAAAGAUAAAAGAAACAUAAGAAGUCAAGGAACCUUGUUGUUGAUGACGAUUUCACACCUCUUACUGCCUCUAUUUCUCUUUUGAAGGUGCCGGUGUUGAAGUAGGAAAAUGUGGUGUAUUUGCUGUGGCUCAAGGUGAGGGAAAAGAACUAGGAACUACUACCUGAAAGCUUGAGGUUGGAGUAAAAUUAAGAAGGAGUGAACUUGAAAGGGAAAGUGUUUGUGUGACCAUUUCAUGAUGUCCUUGAGCUAAAGAUGUAGUCUUGAAAGUUUGUGGGAGCAGAACCCGUAGGUGCUGAACUAUAUAUUUUAGGUGGUGAUUAGCUAACAAGGAAUUAAUCGAGAACUCGAGGAAGUGGGGUUUGUUCCAACAGCGUCUCAGAUAGAGAGAGGAUCCAGCAUAUCCUAGACCAUCCUCAGCUACAUAGAGUCUCUAUUUCAUUUUUGGUGAACCCGCCAACUGUUAGGGUGGGUAAACUCUAUUUUGUUCAACCUAGUUUAUUGACUAAACCCUGUAUCUAGUAGCUUCAUUUGAACACAGUUAGGAAUCCUGGUAUGUACAAAUGACAUGUUAUGACGUUAUUUUGGAGUUAUUGACAGUGCACUCCCGCUCAUUUUGAAUAGUCGAUUAUAUGCUUUGAGGCUUGCUUGGCCUUAAUAGAUCCUUGGGUUCAUUGGGGUCUUGCACCA